AGUGAACGCUGGCGGUAGGCCUAACACAUGCAAGUCGAACGGCAGCACAGGAGAGCUUGCUCUCUGGGUGGCGAGUGGCGGACGGGUGAGGAAUACAGUCGGAAUCGUACCUUUUCGUGGGGGAUAACGUAGGGAAACUUACGCUAAUACCGCAUACGACCUACGGGUGAAAGUGGGGGGACCGCAAGGCCUCACGCGAU
rnacentral:rRNA from 1 species